AACGAACGCUGGCGGCAUGCCUAACACAUGCAAGUCGAACGAGACCUUCGGGUCUAGUGGCGCACGGGUGCGUAACGCGUGGGAACCUGCCCUUAGGUUCGGAAUAACUCCCCGAAAGGGGUGCUAAUACCGGAUAAUGUCUUCGGACCAAAGAUUUAUCGCCUUUGGAUGGGCCCGCGUUGGAUUAGCUAUUUGGUAGGGUAAAAGCCUACCAAGGCGACGAUCCAUAGCUGGUCUGAGAGGAUGAUCAGCCACACUGGGACUGAGACACGGCCCAGACUCCUACGGGAGGCAGCAGUGGGGAAUAUUGGACAAUGGGCGAAAGCCUGAUCCAGCAAUGCCGCGUGAGUGAUGAAGGCCUUAGGGUUGUAAAGCUCUGUUACCCGGGAUGAUAAUGACAGUACCGGGAGAAUAAGCUCCGGCUAACUCCGUG
rnacentral:rRNA from 1 species